rnacentral:snRNA from 1 species
AGCUUUGUGCAGUGGCAACAUCGUAGCCAAUAAGCUUUAUUGGAGGGGCGAUUAUUGCUGAUUGAAAGAGAUACUGAGAUCCUGGCUCCUCAAAAUAUUGUUCCUGGACCAACAG